ACAGCAGCCGCCGCGGUAAUACGGAGGGUGCAAGCGUUAAUCGGAAUUACUGGGCGUAAAGCGCACGCAGGCGGUCUGUCAAGUCGGAUGUGAAAUCCCCGGGCUCAACCUGGGAACUGCAUUCGAUACUGGGAAGCUAGAGUAUGGGAGAGGAUGGUAGAAUUCCAGGUGUAGCGGUGAAAUGCGUAGAGAUCUGGAGGAAUACCGAUGGCGAAGGCAGCCAUCUGGCCUAAUACUGACGCUGAGGUACGAAAGCAUGGGGAGCAAACAGGAUUAGAUACCCCGGUAGUCCCUGUCUCUUAUAC
rnacentral:rRNA from 1 species